rnacentral:rRNA from 1 species
UACGAAGGGGGCUAGCGUUGCUCGGAAUCACUGGGCGUAAAGCGCACGUAGGCGGCUUUCUAAGUCAGGGGUGAAAUCCUGGAGCUCAACUCCAGAACUGCCUUUGAUACUGGAGAGCUAGAGUCCGGAAGAGGUGAGUGGAACUGCGAGUGUAGAGGUGAAAUUCGUAGAUAUUCGGAAGAACACCAGUGGCGAAGGCGACUCACUGGACACAUAUUGACGCUGAGGUGCGAAAGCGUGGGGAGCAAACAGG